CUUAUUUUCUUUAUGACAAAAUUGACCUUCAUGUAGGAACCUGGAUUACGGGUAUGGCCAAAAUUCAUUUCUUCAUUAUUCUGUGAAGACAAAGCUCUGCAUGGAAGGCGAAAAUGAUUUAGGUUUUAGUUAUUCGUCGCAUUUCAGCUCGAUUAUCUGAAGCUUUUUAACAAUGUUAAUUUGUAUAUUUGAUCUAAGUUAGAUCAUCAUCGAAUCUCUCCACAAAAUCUACCAGAUAUCAGUUUGAAAAAGGAGGCCAGGUGUUUGGAAAUGGUAAUGGGUUAAAAUUGGAUGCAGCUACGGCACAGACAUAUGAAGAGGCCCUCAUGAAUCUAAAGAUCAAACUUGGUCAGGAUACUCAUAAACACAUAGGUUCGCCGAGGUGUUGGUAAUUCGAAUUUACUCUUUCGACGUGGCGAGGAAUGAGUUCAGUCUCGAAACCAAGUCUACUGUUGUUGCUGCGUUGGCUACUAGGAGUUUGGAAGUUGAAGUUAAAAUCACCAAAUCUCAUAUUUGGGACACCUCUAGUCAAGAAAGGUACUUUUUGAGGAAGUUUUAAAAAAGUGAAGAAGAACAAUGGACAAAAUUUGGCUAAUAAUGAGAUUUCGGAAAGAGCUACCCGAAUAUAUAAAGUUUGCGGAUUUUGGACGAGUGGUUCGAAAGAUAAAUUGUUUUUUAAUUUUUUUUAUGCUAUUUAAAACUGCCGACAACAUCAUGAGUCACUUUGAACUAAACUGUAAAUAUUUGGACUAAGUUGUAAAUGAUAAAGGUUAUUUGUGUAUUUUCGAUAUUUUAAAUAAGUUUUGGACUAAUUUGUACCAAGUUAACUCGAUGGACUAAUCCAUACUU